AGAGACAGCAGCAGCCGCGGUAAUACGAAGGGUGCAAGCGUUAAUCGGAAUUACUGGGCGUAAAGCGUGCGUAGGCGGUGAGUUAAGUCUGCUGUGAAAUCCCCGGGCUCAACCUGGGAAUGGCAGUGGAUACUGGCUCGCUAGAGUGUGUCAGAGGAUGGUGGAAUUCCCGGUGUAGCGGUGAAAUGCGUAGAGAUCGGGAGGAACAUCAGUGGCGAAGGCGGCCAUCUGGGACAACACUGACGCUGAGGCACGAAAGCGUGGGGAGCAAACAGGAUUAGAUACCCCGGUAGUCCCUGUCUCUUAUAC
rnacentral:rRNA from 1 species